rnacentral:tRNA from 1 species
UGUAGGGUGGCUGAGUGAUAGGCGUUGGUUUGUAAAACUAAUGACGUAAAGGAUAUUUACCCCUGUAA